ACGGAAGGCAGCAGUGGGGAAUAUUGCACAAUGGGCGCAAGCCUGAUGCAGCGAUGCCGCGUGAGGGAAGAAGGUCUUCGGAUUGUAAACCUCUGUUUUUGGUGGAGAAUAACUGACGGUAGCCAAAGAGGAAGCCACGGCUAACUACGUGCCAGCAGCCGCGGUAAUACGUAGGUGGCAAGCGUUGUCCGGAUUUACUGGGUGUAAAGGGUGCGCAGGCGGGACUGCAAGUUGGAUGUGAAAUACCGAGGCUCAACCUCGGAGCUGCAUCCAAAACUGUAGUUCUUGAGUGGAGUAGAGGUAAGCGGAAUUCCGAGUGUAGCGGUGAAAUGCGUAGAUAUUCGGAAGAACACCAGUGGCGAAGGCGGCUUACUGGGCUCUAACUGACGCUGAGGCACGAAAGUGUGGGUAGCAAACAGGAUUAGAUACCCUGGUA
rnacentral:rRNA from 1 species